GAGUUUGAUCAUGGCUCAGGAUUAACGCUAGCGGGAGGCCUAACACAUGCAAGUCGAGGGGUAACAGGUGUAGCAAUACAUGCUGACGACCGGCGCACGGGUGAGUAACGCGUAUGUAACCUACCCUAUACUGGGGGAUAGCUCGGAGAAAUUCGGAUUAAUACCCCAUAAUACAUAGAUAUCGCAUGUUAUUUAUGUUAAAGCUUCGGUGGUAUAGGAUGGGCAUGCGUCCCAUUAGCUAGUUGGAGAGGUAACGGCUCACCAAGGCAACGAUGGGUAUGGGGUCUAAAAGGAUGGUCCCACACACUGGUACUGAGACACGGACCAGACUCCUACGGGAGGCAGCAGUGAGGAAUAUUGGUCAAUGGGCGGAAGCCUGAACCAGCCAUCCCGCGUGCAGGAAGACGGCCCUAGAGGUUGUAAACUGCUUUUCUACAGGAAUAAUAAGGGCUACGUGUAGUUCGAUGCCAGUACUGUAGGAAUAAGCAUCGGCUAACUCCGUGCCAGCAGCCGCGGUAC
rnacentral:rRNA from 1 species